UGCUAAGACAGGAUAGGAAAUUAAGAGGCAUCUUUUAAUUUUUAAAAGACCUUUUUCGAAAGGUAUACUUAAAGAGGGGCUUGCGCCACAUUAGUUAGUUGGUAAGGUAAAGGCUUACCAAGACGAUGAUGUGUAGCUGGACUGGGAGAGGUCGAACAGCCACAUUGGGGGACUGAGACACGGCCCAAACUCCUACGGGAGGCAGCAGUAAGGAAUUUUUGGCAAUGGAGGAAACUCUGACCGAGCGACGUCGCGUGAACAAUGAAGUACUUCGGUAUGUAAAGUUCUUUUAUUGAAAAAGAAAAAAUAGUGGAAAAACUAUCUUGACAUUAUUCAAUGAAUAAGCCCCGGCUAAUUAUGUGCCAGCAGCCGCGGUAAUACAUAAGGGGCGAGCGUUAUCCGGAAUUAUUGGGCGUAAAGGGUGCGUAGGCGGUUUGAUAAGUCUAUAGUUUAAAUGCAGUGCUUAACGCUGUAGCGCUAUAGAAACUGUCUGACUAGAGUUAGAUAGAGGCAAGCGGAAUUCCAUGUGUAGCGGUAAAAUGCGUAAAUAUAUGGAGGAACACCAGAGGCGUAGGCGGCUUGCUGGGUCUUAACUGACGCUGAGGCACGAAAGCGUGGGGAGCAAACAGGAUUAGAUACCCUGGUUAGUCCACGCCGUAAACGAUGAGUACUAAGUGUCGGGUUUCGGCUCGGUACUGAAGUUAACACAUUAAGUACUCCGCCUGAGUAGUACGUACGCAAGUAUGAAACUUAAAGGAAUUGACGGGACCCCGCACAAGCGGUGGAUCAUGUUGUUUAAUUCGAAGAUACACGAAAAACCUUACCAGGUCUUGACAUAAUUUUGCGACAUUAUAGAAAUAUAAUGAAGGUUAUCAGAAUUACAGGUGGUGCAUGGUUGUCGUCAGCUCGUGUCGUGAGAUGUUAGGUUAAGUCCUAAAACGAGCGCAACCCUUGUCGUUAGUUGCGACCACGUAAUGGUGAGCACUUUAGCGAGACUGCCAAUGAAAAAUUGGAGGAAGGUGAGGAUUACGUCAAAUCAUCAUGCCCCUUAUGAUCUGGGCUACAAACGUGAUACAAUGGCUGUUACAAAGAGUAGCUACAACCGUGAGUUUUUAGCCAAUCUCAAAAAAACAGUCUCAGUUCGGAUUGAAGUCUGCAACUCGACUUCAUGAAGUUGGAAUCGCUAGUAAUCGCGAAUCAGCAUGUCGCGGUGAAUACGUUCUCGGGGUUUGUACACACCGC
rnacentral:rRNA from 1 species